UUAAAAAUGAAAACAAAAGGAUUUAGGAGUUGAUGAAGAUUUGGGAGAAGGAGAGAAGGCAAUCUACAGUCGUCUUGCCUGGAGUAUUCCUGAGGAGCCUGGAAAGCUACAGCUUAUGGGAUCGCAAAGAAUAGGACACCGCUGACUCAGAGACCUUUCUGCCUUGCCUUUCUGCCGGAUUCCCCAGCAUGUGGUCCAGAGCCCAUCACAGAGCAGGCCCCAGAGGUCGCAAACAAAUUUUCACUGGGUGAAGACAAUGAAUCUUUACAUUUACAGGCUCUCCAGAAGUCCUUGGCUUGGCCGGAUGGCAGCUCUGCUCCCCGGGGCAGGAGAAGGUUUGGAGUGCUGGCAGAAGCUUCUCGAAUCCUCCCCUCGCUCCUGCUGUGGCCUUGGCUCAGGCUGGGGGCUCCAGUGCCUCUCCCAGUGGGUGCCGGAGGCUGGAGCCGCCUUUGUCUGCCGCAGGAGUCCAGCCAGGCGGCUGCGGCUGCAACCGGCCCCUGCCCAGGCCUGGGAGAUGGUUUUUUAUUCCCUGUGUGUUGCAGCUGGGACCGUUUAUAAUAGAAAAAAAGAGAGAGAGAGAAUGACCAGGCCAGCCGGCUGGAAAAUAAAGAGA
rnacentral:lncRNA from 1 species